ensembl:lncRNA
CUUUGCCAAUAAGCAAGACCUGCUGACUGCUGCUCCGGCCUCUGAGAUCGCAGAGGGACUGAACCUGCGCACCAUUCGGGACCGCAUGUGGCAAAUUCAGUCCUGCUCUGCACUUACAGGAGAGGGGGUUCAGGCAUUUUUGGAUCCUUUGUGGAGUUUGACAGCCUCUGGUCACUAUGAACUAUAAGUGUAUGGAAAAAAGCAGUGUGAAGAUUCAUCAUUCAAAAUGUUUCCACGGAAACAAUAGCAGCAUGUGGUUUGGAACGGCAUGAGGAUGGGUAAACGAUGCCAGCAUUUUCAUGUAUCCCUUUUAAGUUAAUUGAGAAAUGUUUUUAUUUUGACACACUGGUGACACUGGUUUACUCAUUUCAACUCCUUGCCUUUUCAUGCUCUUCCAAUCCAAGCACAACAAACUGAAAACAUCUCUUGUUCAUUUCCCCAAACCCUGUCCUGCUCUGUUUUUCACAGCGACUGGUGUCCAUAUAUCAUUUUCAGCAUGUGUGAACAAUAAAAAUGUGUGAAUGUGAUUCAAUUCCAGGCUUCAGAAUUCAGUAGAUUACUAAAACUGAGUAAAGUUCACACAUUUUAAAUGCCUCCAAACACACUGAAAUGGAAGUGCAGAAGAUCUCUGAAGCACCCAGAGGCCCCUGCAGCUCUCCUGACUCUGUUGCUUCAGGGCUGGCCUCACAGGACCUAAGAGGGAUUUUGGAUUAUCCGUCCUGGCUUUAGGGAUUGGAGCUGCAAUGUGCUGGAUAGCAGAAAUCUUAAUUCUGCAUGGACUGUAUUGGUGUAAAAAGCAAUGUGUGAAUGAAAAACAGGAAAAGACAAAGGCCCUGCAUACAUCUGGUAUUAACAUCUGUCCCAGAUUUACAGCUGACAUGGUCACCUCUAAAUACAGGUGUAAAUGGGAUCCACAACAUUUUGUAAUCCGAGCACUCAAACUGCAUUUGAAGGUACGCAUGUGAACACAUUGAAUUUGUAGUGUAAACUCUAAUGCACCCAGGAUGGCAGCAAAGAACUGUCUACUCAUCUUUUUUUGUGGAAAAACCAUAUGAUCAAAUAAGCACAAUCAGUUUGGCGGCACUCACAGGUCAGAAGCUUUGGCGUGCUCUCCUCAGGCAGAUCCCCCCUAAGGUUUCUGGGGAUUUUUUUUUUUGAGAAAGUGCUAUGCAUCAUUUGUUUUUCUUCUCUCAGUAUUCUCAAGCCCUGUUCAAAACAAGAUGAAUGGUGUGUAAAAGCGG